AUUGAAAGCAGUUCAGUCCUGCUUUGUCCAGAUGUGAAGAUGUCUUCAGUGCUCUUUGGAGUGAUUUUGGCCAAUGCAAUGAUUGUUGGUACAUGUGAACCAACUCAGUCCUGGUCAGACGGGGACGAAAGGGAUAUUUUGAAUUCUGCCAACUCAAAUAUUCUACUACACAAAGAUGCAGUGUACCAGUUUGUGAACACAUCUUUCAGUUUUGAACAAGCUUUGAAUUACUGCCGUGGUAAGUUUGGUGCCCUCACAACCUCAGGGGUCAAAGAGGAUGAGGAGGGAGCCCAGCAGUUGCUCUCUAAUCCUGACCUGAAGGGCCCCAUUUGGUUUGGAACCAACAAGAGACAGAACCCCACCGCCCAUCUGGACCUUUCCAAACAAACAACAGUCCUCUCAGGCUUAUCUUUCCAGUUUAAGGAUAGCUUUGCUUUUUUGAAUAUUUCUUUCCCAACGCUGUCGACAGUGAGUGUGUGCAUGCGCCUGCAGUGGGAUCCUCAGCACGAGAACAUCUCCACUGUGUUCUCCUACGCAGCGCCUGUUUUCAUCAAUGAAUUUCAGCUGCGUGGAAAAAUAGACGAGUCAAAAGGAAAGAAAUCCCCUAAAAAGGUCCGACUAGCACUUCUCAUUAAAGGACAACACAAUCCUUACAAAGCCGAGCUUCCUCUUGAUAAAGACUGGCACCAUGUCUGCGCCACCUGGCGCGCGAGUGAUGGAUUUUGGGCUAUUUAUGUGGAUGGAAAAGAGGGCGAUUCGGGGAAAGUUGAGAAAGCUAAUCCCAGGGACAUCCACGGAAAAGGGAUAUUUAUAGUGGGGCAAGACCAGGAUACCUUUGGUGGGACUUUUACGGAGCCGUUUGUGGGAAACUUGACUGAUCUGAACAUUUGGGAUGUAGCUUUGGAGCUAAAACAGGUGCAGGCGCUGGGUGCAUGUUCAGCACUGACCAAUCACAGAGCGAUCUUUAGAUGGCAGGACUGGAACCUCACUGUCAAUCCAUCUGUCAAGAAAGUGUCUGCAACACUGAACUGUCCAGGGCCCCUGAAGCCAACACAGGUACAGGAAGAGGAAUGUAAAGUUUUUAUUGGCUGGCCUAGUGAUCAGCCUCAGUACAGGACUGUCUCCUGUACAGACUCACUCCCUUUCAUCUGCACAGUCAGUAAAGAACGCUAUCUGAAGAUGAAGGAAAUGCGAGAAUCAAUGAGUUCCAACCCAAGCCCCUUCAUGCAAUGUCUCAUGCAGCUUGGCGUGACCACAGAGGAUGUGCUGUCGGAUACUGUAGAUGAGCAGAGUUGGACCUCAGUUUCCCAUCUGUUAAACGUGUCUGAGCAGGCUGUUUUGAAAGAACAGAAAGAUCUGGAGGGCAGGGACAUAAUCUCUCUCAUCCAUGUGCUCUCUCGGGCCGCUGAUUUGCCCAGUACAGCCAACCAGAGCCGCCGUGAUGCUGAAAAAUUCGGCCAGAGCUUCAUCACACUGGCAGAUUCACUCCUCAGCCAGGACAAUGCCAGCAAAUGGGACAGCAUCAAAGAGGUAGUAAAGGGGCCGAUGGCUGUGAUACAGACUGUAGACCGUAUGAUGAGCAACCUCAACUCUCUGCUCAUGGAGGACACAAACAGUGUGCAGAUACACAGCCAGCAUAUCAAGUUGCAGGUCCAACAGAAGAUUCUCUCUGAAGGUUCUGAAGGUUCUGUUGCUUCUGAGUUCUGCGGGUCAGACAUGGGAAUUCGUGACUGCAUCUCUGUACCAGCUAAAAAUAUGAAGGAACUUCAUAACAGUGGCUUCAAAAAGGUGACUUUACUGAAUACAUGGUACAGCACUGUGAAAUGCCUCUCAGAAAGAGAGGAGAACAUUACCUUUUUGCCUAUUGUCACGGAUGGUUAUCACAGUUAUCGGGGAACAGUCUUGGGUUCGUCAAUCAUCUCCAGUACAGUGUUGGGAGAUGGACAGCCAAUCAGCAUGGCCAUACACUUCACACUCCAGCACAGGAGUCAGAACACUUCAGUGACAAUAAAACCCAUCUGUGCUUUUUGGGAUUUUGACCUGAUGCCAGAGCGGGGAGGGUGGUCAACAAAAGGCUGUGCUGUCAUUUCCACUCACGAUAACUCUACUUCCUGUUACUGUAACCACACUACAAACUUUGCUGUACUGUUGCAGUUAUAUGAUGUCCAGUGGAGUCAUGAACAUGAGAUAAGUCUGCAGAUCUUCGGUUUGAUUGGCUCUGGGGUGUCUCUAUGUGGACUGAUCCUCACGUUGAUUCUCUUUGUUGCUGUUGGUGUCCCAAAGUCAGAUCGCACCACAGUUCACAAAAACCUGAUCGUGGCACUGUCUGUAGCUCAGUUACUGUUCAUUUUCAGCGACUGGGCUGCUGGAAACCAGGAAGCCUGUUGGCUGGUUACGGCCCUCCUCCAUCUAUUUUACCUGUCAUCCUUCUGCUGGAUGCUGGUGGAGGGAAUACUGCUCUGGAAUAAAGUUGUGUCUGUUAACAUCAGUGAGGAGAGGAGAAUGAAGCUUUACUACGUGCUGGGCUGGGGGCUGCUGGUUGUUAUAGUUGCUAUAACUUUGGUGGCCUCUUUGAACCGGUACAAAGCACAGCAAUAUUGCUGGUUGAACAUUCAGUCACAUGUCAUUUGGGCUUUUGCAGGGCCCAUUAUCUUUGUUUUGGCUGUAAAUUCUGUGGUGCUUUUUAGGGUUGUCAUGGUUACAGUGGCCAGUGCUCGCCGCAGAGCAAAAAUGCUGACGCCCAGUUCUGAUUCAAAACUUCAAACAAUGGAUCUUACGUGGGUUGCAACACGGCCAGUGCUGAUCUUGUUGCCAGUGUUAGGUCUGACCUGGAUAUGUGGAGUGUUGGUACACUUAUCUGUUUAUCUGGCCUAUCUGUUCAUCACACUCAAUGCUUUUCAGGGCCUUUACAUUUUUUUGGUGUAUGCGGUUUACAACAGUGAGGUGCGGAACGCUAUAAGAAGAAUUCAGGAAAAGCGAAAAGCCUUGUCAUUUACCAACUGCUCUCAGCCUAUCAGCUUCUUGCCCUCUCAAAAAUCUGCCAGUGGCUUAUGGGUUCACAGUCUGCCCACUCAGUCCAGUCAAGAGAGCAGUGAGAGUGGCACUCCCAUCACCAGCUCCACAUCCAACUCACUCGUCUUUAAGAAUGAGCGUUUUAAAGAUGAAAGCAUUGUGUGUUUCUCAAUUAAACAAGCCAACGGAAGUCAGGCUGUUAAGGAGAAGACUACACUAUGCCACACACACUCAAGCCAUAUCCUGGGAUGAAGACACAACUCAUUAUGUGCUGCAAAACACACACAUACACACACAGAGCAGCUUGAGAAAGCUCUGCCUCCCCCAGAGUUCUCCGGCCCCUAUCAUUCCCAGGGCUGAAUCAGUGUUGACAUAGAAAACAUCUAGGUUACUGUCGUAACCUCCAUUCCCUGAUGAAGGGAACGAGACGUUGUGUCGAUGACAGUGCUUGGGGCAGUGCUUGCAGGUUAACCACCUGAUCCCUGAACGGGGUCGUGGGAACCUUGGGCACAUAGCCCGGUCGGGGUCUCAGGAUCACGUGAGAGUCACCCGGGCCGAACUCCAGGCACAGUUUGCUGACAGAGAACGCCUGCUGGUCCCCUACCCUCUUGAUGGAGGUGAGCGCCGUCAGGAGGGCAGUCUUCAAAGAGAGUGACCCACCGUCGAGGGUAGUGAGAGCGGAGGAGUUCGCAAAUCAGGUGUGGGCAGUAAAAGGUGCCUGCCACGACCGCGUAAGCUCCUCAUGCACUUCCGGGAAGAAAGGAACGGGGGCGGAGCGUGGCCGUGAGCGGCACUCCGGCCCCAGGAACCAAUCGUCGAGCUGCGAGGGUUUGGGGGGGAGUGGAGGCUUCCACUGCAGCCCGACACUCGCGGCUGCCCAGGCAAGCAUGGCCGCCAGCUCCGCGUUUUCCUGCGACUGGACCACCGUACCCGAGGGUGGGAGUCCAACCGAGUCUUCCGCAUCAGACAUGGCGAGCCCGCUCUCCGAUGCUGCAAUGGAUAUCUCAUCCUCUUCUUGAGUUCCGAACGGGCCCGCGGUCACAUCCUAGAACCCGGCCGGGGCAUACACGCGUGCAGGGGAAUGGGAGGUCCAUGGGGGGUUACCCGGCGGAGGAGCUUCCAUUGAAGUCCCCAAAUCGUCCCCAGUGCUAACCAACUCAGCCUCAUACCCGUAGGUAGAAGGACUGAGAUGGGGAGCUGCUGGGUUGCAACACGACCACAACGUAGCCAUGGUCAUGUUCUCGCAAUAAGGAUAUGAACCAUCCAUGCACAAUGUCUCCGCGUGGGAAGCACCCAAACACGAGAUACAGCGAUCGUGGCCGUCAGAAGCGGAGAGAUAGCGACCGCCACCAGGAAAGAUACACAAAUGAAAAGGCAUCUUGAAAAAGACACUUUCGUGAGUGCCACUCUUUUAGUUGGAACUAUUCUCUUUUAGAGAGAAAAUAUACUCUUUUUUUUUUUUUCUCACUGUUGAAGCGCCCAGGGAUGUACUCUGCACAACGCCGGUGCAAGAGGGGGAGAACCGCUGUAAUGCGCUGUAAGACCAACAGCUCGUGAGAGCAAAAGAGAUGAAUGGAUCAGUAGUAGUUCAGCUUGAAUGAACACAACCACUCCAGCUCCUUUUAUACCCGUAUGUCCGGGGGAGUGGCAUGCAAAUUCCACUCGCCAAUUCUCCAAGGAGCGACCCCUAGUGUCACUUCAUCGACACAACGUCGAGUGAGUGACAGAAGGGGAACUGCAGUACUACUUUUUUACUCUCACAAUUAAAACUAAUGUUGAUGUAAAAGUAUGUAUCUUUGUUGCCAUUUGUGAAUAUACAAUUUCACAAGACAAACUACAUGAAAUUGUGUUAAGGUAAAAAACAAUUAUUUUUUUUUUUUUUUUGUGGUUUAAGUAUUUUUAUAAAAUGAUACACUGGAAUAUAUACUGAAUUUGAAUUAAAUAAUUGUGAUAAAGAUCUUACAUGUUUCAAAUUGAUUUUAUAAGAUGCACUGUGCCUUUGUGAGCACGCAAGAUUGGCAACAUGUGUGAAUGUUUUCUGACCUUCCCCUUAUUAUUGCCGUACAGAAGAGACUCUCAGAGAGGAGCAGCAUGUCCGUCCACAGCACUUUUAAGAAACAUUCUCAUUCAAAGUAAGAUUGCUUUUAGACUGCCACACACAUGCAAUCUCUCGCUCUCAGAAUCUAGUCAAGUGAUUUUUCAUGAACUGCAGCAUGCAUUUUAUUUUGAGUAUUUUAUUGUGACCAAAUUUUUUCAGCUCAAUGGAAAGACAAUAAAUUUGCAAUAAAAAUGUGCUUUAAAUAUCUAAAUUUUUCAUAGAUAUUACAUAUUGAUGAUUAUGAAAACUUUGAAAGUGAUUACAUUUUGGACUGGCCCCUUUGAACAUUUUAAAUAGCUGGAUUUGACAAACAAUAAAAAGUACAAACAGUCAAAUGACCAUUAUCCAUAAAAAAGCACAAGGGCAUUAAGGUAAAUACAACGAUACAUAAAUAUUCCUCUUUAGAAUAUAAGAUUA